rnacentral:rRNA from 1 species
AAUAUGACUCUCGGCAACGGAUAUCUCGGCUCUCGCAUCGAUGAAGAACGUAGCGAAAUGCGAUACUUGGUGUGAAUUGCAGAAUCCCGUGAACCAUCGAGUCUUUGAACGCAAGUUGCGCCCCAAGCCGUUAGGCCGAGGGCACGUCUGCCUGGGUGUCACAC